CUUAACACAUGCAAGUCGAUCGGUAACAGGUGUAGCAAUACAUGCUGACGAGAGGCGGACGGGUGAGGAACGCUUGGGAAUCUGCCUAUCAGCGGGGGACAACCCGGGGAAACUCGGGCUAAUACCGCAUACGCUCUACGGAGGAAAGCCGGGGACCGCAAGGCCUGGCACUGAUAGAUGAGCCCAAGUCGGAUUAGCUAGUUGGCGGGGUAACGGCCCACCAAGGCGACGAUCCGUAGCUGGUCUGAGAGGACGAUCAGCCACACCGGAACUGAGACACGGUCCGGACUCCUACGGGAGGCAGCAGUGGGGAAUAUUGGACAAUGGGCGAAAGCCUGAUCCAGCGACGCCGCGUGGGUGAAGAAGGCCUGCGGGUUGUAAAGCCCUUUCGGUAGGGACGAAAGCUCUUGCUCUAACACGGCAGGAGGUUGACUUAACCUACAUAAGAAGCACCGGCUAACUCUGUGCCAGCAGCCGCGGUAAUACAGAGGGUGCGAGCGUUAAUCGGAAUUACUGGGCGUAAAGCGCACGUAGUCGGCUUGGCAAGUCGGGUGUGAAAUCCCCGGGCUCAACCUGGGAACUGCAUCCGAGACUGCCUUGCUAGAGUAUGGGAGAGGGAAGCGGAAUUUCUGGUGUAGCAGUGAAAUGCGUAGAUAUCAGAAGGAACAUCAGUGGCGAAGGCGGCUUCCUGGACCAAUACUGACGAUCAGGUGCGAAAGCGUGGGGAGCAAACAGGAUUAGAUACCCUGGUAGUCCACGCCCUAAACGAUGACAACUGGAUGUCGGGAGGGUUUGCCUUCCGGUGUCGUAGCUAACGCGUUAAGUUGUCCGCCUGGGAAGUACGGCCGCAAGGUUGAA
rnacentral:rRNA from 1 species